ensembl:lncRNA
CUACAAACCAGUAAGUAGGGACUUGAACUUGAGAUCACUGACUCAGGCUAGGGAGGACUCCAGAGCACCUGAGCUCAGCUGCAAAGGCAGAAGCUGAACCAGAGUGAGCAGAGGUGGCACAUUUUGCUGUUUCUUUCCUUUUCUGCAAUCAGUCCUUUCAAUGAACACUACAGAUGAGGAUCUUCCCUCCCAGGCUUAGUGUCUGCAGUUAUGAGGGUCCUCUCCAGGGGAUUCAAAACCCCAGAAGAGUCUUCAGAAGAAAAGGGCUACACACUGCACUGCCCCCAGCACUCUGAAAAACAGAGACCCUUUCUGUGCUUGGGCCAGUCAGUGCUCAAUAGUUAGCUUCUGGCUGCACUGGCUGCUCACAAAUAACACAGCUGCCUGGGUCCUGUGGCCUGGCUGUCACAGACUGUGAUUGAGAAUUUAUUUCAACGGUGUCAGCAUAGCCACUCUGUUCCUUCUGGUCCCAGGUUGCACAGAGCUCCUUGUCCUCAUACACGCCUGUUCCAUCAUUGGACCUUAAUAUUUGAAGUGAGCCCUACACUCAGGAUGGACUUGGUUUUCUAUACAUCAUGCCAACCUCUGUGUGAGAGGAAGUGUCUGCAUGUAUAUGGAUACCCCCUUAUGUGCCUAGGUGUCCAUGUAUACCACUACCCCAUGUCCUGUCAGAGGCCAUCCUCUGGACAGGUCCUCAUGCCUGCAUGUCAGACCACCUGUCUUCAAGCCCCAACCCCUCCCCACUCCAUGGAUGCAGAGCUUGUGGGCUUUGCUGAUGCAUCCAACAUUGAUGGGGGUUUUGGGGAUUCAAACUCAAGUCCUCACCCGUGGGAGGCAAGUGCUCUGCCUAUCCCUGCAGCUUUGUCUCAGGUGUUUGAUGAUAUCCUAGAGCCUUUCUGAGGGCUUAUGAGAACAGUGUCCUCUGGAUGGGUCAGUUUAGAAACACAGCUUUGUCGUUUUUUAUUUUUAUAACACUGUACCAUCAGUUUGAGGCUAAUCAUUCAGAAUUCAAAGAAAAGGUGACACAGCGAGCAUAGACAUGAGGACUUUAAAGCAGGAGGCACAGCAAACAUUCAAAACAGAGAACUAAGGAGAGUAAACAUCUUACAGGCUUUGAUUUCUAAAAGCCUAAAAUCUCUCCAUAGCCCACAGAAGCCAGAGCCUUGAAGCCCUUCCCAACCAUGUCAUGACAGGUCCUAUUGUGACCUCAUGAGGAGCGACUGUGAGGAGGUCCAGCCAACAGACGUUAAGCUGUUGCCAGGCCUGGACCUCUUUGAGUGCUUUGAGAGGAGGUGUGGAGUGGAGCCCUCUGCGACUUGGUUGUAUCUAGUGAGCUGUGUGUGGUUGUAUCGGAUUUUACUGUACUGUGCAUAUGUGUAUGUAUCAGUGUGUGUAGGAUGAUGUGUGUUGACAGAUUUGCUUGUGUGUGAGUGUGUGUACACUUUCGCCUGUGUGUUUUUCAGUAUAUGUAGGAGUGUGUGAGUUUACAGGUUUGUGUGUAUGUGUUUGUAUGUGUGUACCUCUUCGUGUGUGUCUGUGUGUGUCCCUGUGUGUGUGUGUGUGUGUGUGUGUCUGUGAUGUGCGUUUUUCCAGGUUUGCUUGUGUGUAAGUAUGUGGGUGCCUGUUCCUAUGUGAUUGUGUUUUGUGUGAAUCUGGGUGUUUGUAAGAGUUUGUCUGUGUGAGUGUAAGUACACUUUUGUGUAUUUCUGUGUGUGCCUGUGUGUGCUUCUGUGUGUGCCUGUGUGUGUGCCUGUGUGCCUGUGUGUGUGUGUGUGUGUGUGUGUGUGUGUGUGUGUGUGUGUGUGUGUGUGUGUUGUGUGUGCACACGUCCCCAUCCCGUUUUACCUGCACCUCAAUGCAAGAGAGUGUAGAGGCCAGAAGUCAGCCCGGGCUCCUGUUCCUGAGGUAGCAUUAGUACUGAUAAAAUGCCUACAGAGACUGAGGAGGAGUUACCACCUCCUAGCCCCG